AUGGACGGCGCCGGGAGAACGACGACGACGACGGCGUGCGUGACCGGCGCGGGCGGCUUCGUGGCCUCGUGGCUCGUCAAGCUGCUCCUCUCCCGCGGCGGCGGCCGCUACGCCGUCCACGGCACCGUCCGUGACCCCGGUGAGUUUCUCGAACCGUUGGAUUCUUCCGUGACCGUGACCGAUGCUGAACGAAGAUUCGAUCUCCUGUUCCUGCCGGAAGGCGACGCCAAGAACGCGCACCUGGCGGCGCUGGACGGCGCCGCGGAGAGCCUGCGGCUGUUCAAGGCCGACCUGCUGGACUACGACAGCAUGGCGGCGGCCAUCGCCGGCUGCGACGUCGUCUUCCAUGUCGCCUGCCCCGUCCUCGCCAACCACACCCCCAACCCCGAGGCUGAUUUAAUUGCCCCUGCUGUGACUGGCACGAUGAACGUCCUGAAAGCUUGCUCUGAGGCUAAGGUCAAGAGGGUUGUGAUGGUGUCUUCCGUCGCUGCAGUCAUGACGAACCCCAGCUGGCCUGAAGGCAAGCCCAUGGAUGAAGACUGCUGGUCUGACGUCGACUACUGCAGAACCACAGAGAAUUGGUACAACCUUUCCAAAACACUAGCAGAGCUUCAGGCCUUCGAUUACGCAAAGAGAAGCGGGUUAGAUGUUGUGACCGUCUGUCCGUCGCUGGUGAUCGGGCCCUUGCUGCAACCUACGGUGAAUGCGAGCAGUUCGGUCAUAGUUGAUUUCUUGAAAGGUGAUAAUGAGGUAAAGAGCAAAAUCAGAAACUUCGUGGAUGUUCGAGACGUUGCCGAUGCUCUCAUCUUGGUGUAUGAAACCCCAGAGGUCUCCGGACGCUAUGUAUGCAGUUCACAUGCAAGGAAAGUCUCUGAUGUCAUAGACCUGAUGAAGGGCAUGUAUCCUGCUUACACAUUUGCCAACAAGGUUGUCCAAGUGGAUGACGAACCCUCGUUUAGUUCAAGGAAGCUUGAGAUGCUGGGCUGGAAAACCAAGCCACUUGAAGAGACCCUAAGGGACAGUGUCGAAUCAUACAAGGCUGCAGCUGUCUUGAAUUGA
rnacentral:rRNA from 1 species